rnacentral:rRNA from 1 species
AUUGAACGCUGGCGGCAGGCCUAACACAUGCCAGUCGAACGGUAACAGAAAGCAGCUUGCUGCUUUGCUGACGAGUGGCGGACGGGUGAGUAAUGUCUGGGAAACUGCCUGAUGGAGGGGGAUAACUACUGGAAACGGUAGCUAAUACCGCAUAACGUCGCAAGACCAAAGAGGGGGACCUUCGGGCCUCUUGCCAUCGGAUGUGCCCAGAUGGGAUUAGCUAGUAGGUGGGGUAACGGCUCACCUAGGCGACGAUCCCUAGCUGGUCUGAGAGGAUGACCAGCCACACUGGAACUGAGACACGGUCCAGACUCCUACGGGAGGCAGCAGUGGGGAAUAUUGCACAAUGGGCGCAAGCCUGAUGCAGCCAUGCCGCGUGUAUGAAGAAGGCCUUCGGGUUGUAAAGUACUUUCGGAGGGGAGGAAGGGAGUAAAGUUAAUACCUUUGCUCAUUGACGUUACCCGAAGAAGAAGCACCGGCUAACUACGUG